UAAUUAUGUAAUUUCUAUUUUCGUAUGUAUUAUUCCUUCCACCACCAUCAGUGGUUGUAUAUGAGAUUGUCAUUCCGUGUGUAACACUAAGAAAUAUUCAUCUGGCCAACAAUAUAUUUUUUAUCCUUAUGAAAUUCUGAGUCGAUUUAGCAAUGUCCGUCUGUAUGUCUAUAUAAAACACGUUUACGAAAAACAUUCGUUAUUAUCUGUUACAGUUUGGUAUUGAAAAUCAGUAAUAUCGCAUAAAGAGUUUUAGAAAUAUGAGUAAAAAAUUCAGACAACCUUUAAAAAAAUCUCGAUUUUUAAAUAUUUUUGUUAUAUUUUACAAAAACUACUAUUAACUAUGUGGAACUAUGGAUCAACGAUGUGGAAAAUCGGACCAAAAUGGGAGUUAAAAUUCUUUUUAAUAAAAAAUUGAAGGUGCUAUGCAUGCAGCAAACUGAUUUUGAACUUCGACUCUUUUGUUUUAGAUCAAAGUACGACUUUUGUUGAUAACGCUAGGUCCAGCAGUGUUGGUGGCAUCGAGCAUCAGUUUUUAAGCUCAUGAAUAAAUGCUAAGAACUACAUUGGGUUAAUAAAAAAGGUUUUUUCGUUUUUUAAUGACCUAUAUGGACCUAGCCCUUGGAUCCUAAAUCUUAUAUAAAGUUCCAAAAUGUUGAAUGGUUGAGCUGGCCUCCAUAUUCACCAGACUUAAACAUUAUAGAAAACUUGUGGAAAUACCCGAAAAGUUUAUGAGUCUUGAAAGCAGUAUUCAACAAUUCCUGAACUAAUCUAUGCAAUUAAAGAAGUCAAACUGAAUUACAUGGUCAAGCUAUAUGAAUCACUUUCAAAUAGGAUUUGUGAAGUGUUAGUCAACCAAUGAGGUUCAACACAUUACUAGAAUAGCUUAAUUUUAUUUAUAUCGUUGUAAGUAAUCUAAAUCAAUAAGUUUUAAUUAAAAAAGUUGCUUUAAAAUCACUUUUUCGGGGGGAUAUUCUAUUUAAGUGACGAAUUUUUAACAAUAGCUUUUUCGGUUAAUUUAUAAAAAAAAUAUGUAUAAAAUAAAAUAUUACAGAUAUGACAACCA